rnacentral:miRNA from 1 species
UGAGGUCUCGUUUGCUAAAUUU